GGUACGUUGGCCGAGUGGUUAAGGCGUUGGACUUAAGUUCCAACGUGGGUUCGAACCCCACACGUACAA